UCCGGUGGCAAUAGAGAAAGGGCAACACCUGAUCCCAUCUCGAACUCAGAAGUUAAGACUUUCUUCGCCAAUGGUAGUAUAUACAAGAGUAUGCAAGAGUAGGUCGCUGCCGGUU
rnacentral:rRNA from 1 species